GCCAGGCAUAGUGGCAUGUGCCUAUAGUUCUAGCUACUCCAGAGGCUGAGACAGGAGGAUUGCUUGAAUCCAGGAGUUCUGGGCUGUAGUGAGCUAUGCCAAUUUGGUGUCUGCCCUACAUUUGGCAUCAAUGCGGUAACCUUCCAGGAGCAGGGGGCCACCAGGUUGCCUAAGGAGAGGUGAACCAGUCCAGGUCAGAGACAGAGCAGGUCCAAGCUCCCGUGCUGAUCAGUAGUGGGAUCGCACCUGUGAAUAGCCACUGCACUCCAGCUGGAGCAACAUAGUAAGACCCCAUCUUGU
rfam:Otolemur garnettii contig011348, whole genome shotgun sequence.